rnacentral:rRNA from 1 species
AUUGAACGCUGGCGGAAUGCUUUACACAUGCAAGUCGAACGGCAGCACGGGGGCAGCCCUGGUGGCGAGUGGCGAACGGGUGAGUAAUACAUCGGAACGUGCCCGGUCGUGGGGGAUAACGUAGCGAAAGUUACGCUAAUACCGCAUACGAUCUGAGGAUGAAAGCGGGGGACCUUCGGGCCUCGCGCGAUCGGAGCGGCCGAUGUCAGAUUAGGUAGUUGGUGGGGUAAAGGCCUACCAAGCCGACGAUCUGUAGCUGGUCUGAGAGGACGACCAGCCACAGGGGGACGGAGACACGGCCCAGACUCCGAGGGGAGGCGGCGGGGGGGAAUUUGGGACAAGGGGCGAAAGCUGGACCCAGCCUUCCGGGGGGAGGGAGGAGGGCUUUGGGGUGGUAAUGUUCUUUUGGAGGGAAGAAAAGGGCUCGGGCAAAUCCCUGGGGCUCAUGACGUAACGGAAAAAAAAAGCCCGGGCAAACUAGGUG